UACAGAGGGUGCGAGCGUUAAUCGGAAUUACUGGGCGUAAAGCGUGCGUAGACGGCUAUCUAAGUCGGGUGUGAAAGCCCCGGGCUCAACCUGGGAAUUGCAUUCGAGACUGAAUAGCUAGGGUACGGUAGAGGGAAGUGGAAUUCCGGUGUAGCUGGUGAAAUGCGUAGAUAUCGGAAGGAACAUCAGUGGCGAAAGCGACUUCCUGGACCAGUACCGACGUUCAGGCACGAAAGCGUGGGGAGCAAACAGG
rnacentral:rRNA from 1 species